GAUGAAGAACGUAGCGAAAUGCGAUAAGUAGUGUGAAUUGCAGAAUUCAGUGAAUCAUCGAAUCUUUGAACGCACAUUGCGCCCUUUGGUAUUCCUUAGGGCAUGCCUGUUCGAGCGUCAUUUGAAACCUCAAGCUCAGCUUGGUGUUGGGUGUCUGUCCCCGCCUCACCGCGGGGACUCGCCUCAAAAUCAUUGGCGGCCGGUACGUUGGCUUCGAGCGCAGCAGAAACGCGAACUCGAGGCCCGGCGGAUCAGCGACCAGAAGUCACUUCUUCACAGUUUGACCUCGGAUCAGGUAGGGAUACCCGCUGAACUUAAGCAUAUCAAUAAGCGGAGGA
rnacentral:misc_RNA from 1 species